UCGCUGUGAUGACAUUAUUCCCUGCCAUUCGUAGUUUCCUCCAGAGGUCUGACGACCGAAGACGGUCCAAACCUUCCUUGGAUGUCUGAGCGA